rnacentral:rRNA from 1 species
GAUUCUGGCUCAGGAUGAACGCUAGCGGCAGGCUUAACACAUGCAAGUCGAGGGGCAGCGGGAUGUAGCAAUACAUUGCCGGCGACCGGCGGAUGGGUGCGUAACGCGUAUGCAACCUACCUUAUACAGGGGAAUAACCUUUCGAAAGGGAGACUAACACCCCAUAGUAUUGAUUUAAGGCAUCUUAGAUUAAUUAAAUAUUUAUAGGUAUAAGAUGGGCAUGCGUAUGAUUAGCUAGUUGGUAAGGUAACGGCUUACCAAGGCGACGAUCAUUAGGGGUUCUGAGAGGAAGGUCCCCCACACUGGUACUGAGACACGGACCAGACUCCUACGGGAGGCAGCAGUGAGGAAUAUUGGUCAAUGGGCGCAAGCCUGAACCAGCCAUGCCGCGUGCAGGAAAGACGGCCUUAUGGGUUGUAAACUGCUUUUACAUAAGACUAACCGUAUAUUUGCGAAUAUACCUGAAUGUAUUAUGAGAAUAAGGAUCGGCUAACUCCGUGCCAGCAGCGGC